rnacentral:rRNA from 1 species
UCCUACGGGAGGCAGCAGUGGGGAAUAUUGCGCAAUGGGGGAAACCCUGACGCAGCAACGCCGCGUGAAUGAAGAAGGCCUUAGGGUUGUAAAGUUCUGUCAUAUGGGAAGAUAAUGACGGUACCAUAUGAGGAAGCCACGGCUAACUACGUGCCAGCAGCCGCGGUAAUACGUAGGUGGCAAGCGUUGUCCGGAUUUACUGGGCGUAAAGGAUGCGUAGGCGGAUAUUUAAGUGGGAUGUGAAAUACCCGGGCUCAACUUGGGUGCUGCAUUCCAAACUGGAUAUCUAGAGUGCAGGAGAGGAAAGCGGAAUUCCUAGUGUAGCGGUGAAAUGCGUAGAGAUUAGGAAGAACACCAGUGGCGAAGGCGGCUUUCUGGACUGUAACUGACGCUGAGGCAUGAAAGCGUGGGGAGCAAACAGGAUUAGAUACCCUGGUAGUCC